UACAGAGGUGGCAAGCGUUGUUCGGAAUUACUGGGCGUAAAGGGCGCGUAGGCGGCUUUUUAAGUCAGACGUGAAAUCCCCCGGCUUAACCUGGGAACUGCGUCUGAUACUGGAUGGCUAGAGUUUGGGAGAGGGAUGCGGAAUUCCAGGUGUAGCGGUGAAAUGCGUAGAUAUCUGGAGGAACACCGGUGGCGAAGGCGGCAUCCUGGACCAACACUGACACUGAGAGACGAAAGCCAGGGGAGCAAACGGG
rnacentral:rRNA from 1 species